GCAUAUCAAUAAGCGGAGGAAAAGAAACCAACAGGGAUUGCCUCAGUAACGGCGAGUGAAGCGGCAAGAGCUCAAAUUUGAAAGCUGGCUCCUUCGGGGUCCGCAUUGUAAUUUGCAGAGGAUGCUUCGGGAGCGGCCCCCAUCUAAGUGCCCUGGAACGGGCCGUCAUAGAGGGUGAAAAUCCCGUCUGGGAUGGGGUGUCCGCGCCCGUGUGAAGCUCCUUCGACGAGUCGAGUUGUUUGGGAAUGCAGCUCUAAAUGGGUGGUAAAUUUCAUCUAAAGCUAAAUAUUGGCCGGAGACCGAUAGCGCACAAGUAGAGUGAUCGAAAGAUGAAAAGCACUUUGAAAAGAGAGUUAAACAGCACGUGAAAUUGUUGAAAGGGAAGCGCUUGCGACCAGACUCGCCCACGGGGUUCAGCCGGCAUUCGUGCCGGUGUACUUCCCCGCGGGCGGGCCAGCGUCGGUUUGGGCGGCCGGUCAAAGGCCCUCGGAAUGUAACGCCCCCCGGGGCGUCUUAUAGCCGAGGGUGCCAUGCGGCCAGCCCAGACCGAGGAACGCGCUUCGGCUCGGACGCUGGCAUAAUGGUCGUAAGCGACCCGUCUUGAAACACGGACCAAGGAGUCUAACAUCUACGCGAGUGUUCGGGUGUCAAACCCGUGCGCGCAGUGAAAGCGAACGGAGGUGGGAACCCCUCGGGGUGCACCAUCGACCGAUCCUGAUGUCUUCGGAUGGAUUUGAGUAUGAGCGUAGCUGUUGGGACCCGAAAGAUGGUGAACUAUGCCUGAAUAGGGUGAAGCCAGAGGAAACUCUGGUGGAGGCUCGCAGCGGUUCUGACGUGCAAAUCGAUCGUCAAAUUUGGGUAUAGGGGCGAAAGACUAAUCGAACCAUCUAGUAGCUGGUUCCUGCCGAA
rnacentral:rRNA from 1 species